rnacentral:rRNA from 4 species
CACCGCGGUUAUACGAAAGACCCUAGUUUAUAGAUACGGCGUAAAGGGUGGUUAAGGAGUAUAUAAAAUAAGGCCGAAGACCUCCUAAGCCGUCAUACGCUCUACGAAGGCACGAAGCCCAAACACGAAGGUAGCCUUAAUAAACUUCACCUGACCCCACGAAAGUUGGGAAA